rnacentral:rRNA from 1 species
GGGUUGUGAGGUUAAGCGACUAAGCGUACACGGUGGAUGCCCUGGCAGUCAGAGGCGAUGAAGGACGUGCUAAUCUGCGAUAAGCGUCGGUAAGGUGAUAUGAACCGUUAUAACCGGCGAUUUCCGAAUGGGGAAACCCAGUGUGUUUCGACACACUAUCAUUAACUGAAUCCAUAGGUUAAUGAGGCGAACCGGGGGAACUGAAACAUCUAAGUACCCCGAGGAAAAGAAAUCAACCGAGAUUCCCCCAGUAGCGGCGAGCGAACGGGGAGCAGCCCAGAGCCUGAAUCAGUGUGUGUGUUAGUGGAAGCGUCUGGAAAGGCGCGCGAUACAGGGUGACAGCCCCGUACACAAAAAUGCACAUACUGUGAGCUCGAUGAGUAGGGCGGGACACGUGGUAUCCUGUCUGAAUAUGGGGGGACCAUCCUCCAAGGCUAAAUACUCCUGACUGACCGAUAGUGAACCAGUACCGUGAGGGAAAGGCGAAAAGAACCCCGGCGAGGGGAGUGAAAAAGAACCUGAAACCGUGUACGUACAAGCAGUGGGAGCCUCUUAAUGGGGUGACUGCGUACCUUUUGUAUAAUGGGUCAGCGACUUAUAUUCUGUAGCAAGGUUAACCGAAUAGGGGAGCCGAAGGGAAACCGAGUCUUAACUGGGCGUUAAGUUGCAGGGUAUAGACCCGAAACCCGGUGAUCUAGCCAUGGGCAGGUUGAAGGUUGGGUAACACUAACUGGAGGACCGAACCGACUAAUGUUGAAAAAUUAGCGGAUGACUUGUGGCUGGGGGUGAAAGGCCAAUCAAACCGGGAGAUAGCUGGUUCUCCCCGAAAGCUAUUUAGGUAGCGCCUCGUGAAUUCAUCUCCGGGGGUAGAGCACUGUUUCGGCAAGGGGGUCAUCCCGACUUACCAACCCGAUGCAAACUGCGAAUACCGGAGAAUGUUAUCACGGGAGACACACGGCGGGUGCUAACGUCCGUCGUGAAGAGGGAAACAACCCAGACCGCCAGCUAAGGUCCCAAAGUCAUGGUUAAGUGGGAAACGAUGUGGGAAGGCCCAGACAGCCAGGAUGUUGGCUUAGAAGCAGCCAUCAUUUAAAGAAAGCGUAAUAGCUCACUGGUCGAGUCGGCCUGCGCGGAAGAUGUAACGGGGCUAAACCAUGCACCGAAGCUGCGGCAGCGACACUAUGUGUUGUUGGGUAGGGGAGCGUUCUGUAAGCCUGUGAAGGUGUACUGUGAGGUAUGCUGGAGGUAUCAGAAGUGCGAAUGCUGACAUAAGUAACGAUAAAGCGGGUGAAAAGCCCGCUCGCCGGAAGACCAAGGGUUCCUGUCCAACGUUAAUCGGGGCAGGGUGAGUCGACCCCUAAGGCGAGGCCGAAAGGCGUAGUCGAUGGGAAACAGGUUAAUAUUCCUGUACUUGGUGUUACUGCGAAGGGGGGACGGAGAAGGCUAUGUUGGCCGGGCGACGGUUGUCCCGGUUUAAGCGUGUAGGCUGGUUUUCCAGGCAAAUCCGGAAAAUCAAGGCUGAGGCGUGAUGACGAGGCACUACGGUGCUGAAGCAACAAAUGCCCUGCUUCCAGGAAAAGCCUCUAAGCAUCAGGUAACAUCAAAUCGUACCCCAAACCGACACAGGUGGUCAGGUAGAGAAUACCAAGGCGCUUGAGAGAACUCGGGUGAAGGAACUAGGCAAAAUGGUGCCGUAACUUCGGGAGAAGGCACGCUGAUAUGUAGGUGAAGUCCCUCGCGGAUGGAGCUGAAAUCAGUCGAAGAUACCAGCUGGCUGCAACUGUUUAUUAAAAACACAGCACUGUGCAAACACGAAAGUGGACGUAUACGGUGUGACGCCUGCCCGGUGCCGGAAGGUUAAUUGAUGGGGUUAGCGGUAACGCGAAGCUCUUGAUCGAAGCCCCGGUAAACGGCGGCCGUAACUAUAACGGUCCUAAGGUAGCGAAAUUCCUUGUCGGGUAAGUUCCGACCUGCACGAAUGGCGUAAUGAUGGCCAGGCUGUCUCCACCCGAGACUCAGUGAAAUUGAACUCGCUGUGAAGAUGCAGUGUACCCGCGGCAAGACGGAAAGACCCCGUGAACCUUUACUAUAGCUUGACACUGAACAUUGAGCCUUGAUGUGUAGGAUAGGUGGGAGGCUUUGAAGUGUGGACGCCAGUCUGCAUGGAGCCGGCCUUGAAAUACCACCCUUUAAUGUUUGAUGUUCUAACGUUGGCCCCUGAUCGGGGUUGCGGACAGUGUCUGGUGGGUAGUUUGACUGGGGCGGUCUCCUCCUAAAGAGUAACGGAGGAGCACGAAGGUUGGCUAAUCCUGGUCGGACAUCAGGAGGUUAGUGCAAUGGCAUAAGCCAGCUUGACUGCGAGCGUGACGGCGCGAGCAGGUGCGAAAGCAGGUCAUAGUGAUCCGGUGGUUCUGAAUGGAAGGGCCAUCGCUCAACGGAUAAAAGGUACUCCGGGGAUAACAGGCUGAUACCGCCCAAGAGUUCAUAUCGACGGCGGUGUUUGGCACCUCGAUGUCGGCUCAUCACAUCCUGGGGCUGAAGUAGGUCCCAAGGGUAUGGCUGUUCGCCAUUUAAAGUGGUACGCGAGCUGGGUUUAGAACGUCGUGAGACAGUUCGGUCCCUAUCUGCCGUGGGCGCUGGAGAACUGAGGGGGGCUGCUCCUAGUACGAGAGGACCGGAGUGGACGCAUCACUGGUGUUCGGGUUGUCAUGCCAAUGGCACUGCCCGGUAGCUAAAUGCGGAAGAGAUAAGUGCUGAAAGCAUCUAAGCACGAAACUUGCCCCGAGAUGAGUUCUCCCUGACUCUUUAAGGGUCCUGAAGGAACGUUGAAGACGACGACGUUGAUAGGCCGGGUGUGUAAGCGCAGCGAUGCGUUGAGCUAACCGGUACUAAUGAACCGUGAGGCUUAACCUUACAACGCCGAAG